AGAGUUUGAUCAUGGCUCAGAAUCAACGCUGGCGGCGUGCCUCAGACAUGCAAGUCGAACGCGAAAGCCCCCUUCGGGGGGCAAGUAGAGUGGCGCACGGGUGAGUAACACGUAGGUAAUCUACCUUUGGAUGGGGAAUAACAACCGGAAACGGUUGCUAAUACCGCAUAAUGCAGCGGCACCUAAUGGUGACAGUUGUUAAAGCGGGGGAUCGUAAGACCUCGCGUCUGAAGAGGAGCCUGCGGCAGAUUAGCUAGUUGGUAAGGUAAAGGCUUACCAAGGCGAUGAUCUGUAGCCGGCCUGAGAGGGCGGUCGGCCACACUGACACUGACAUACGGGUCAGACUCCUACGGGAGGCAGCAGUCGGGAAUUUUGGGCAAUGGGCGAAAGCCUGACCCAGCAACGCCGCGUGAAGGAUGAAAUCCCUCGGGAUGUAAACUUCGCAAGAACGGGAAGAAUAAGUAAGAGCUAACAUCUCUUACGAUGACGGUACUGUUUGUAAGCUCCGGCUAACUCCGUGCCAGCAGCCGCGGUAAUACGGGGGGAGCAAGCGUUGUUCGGAUUUACUGGGCGUAAAGGGCGCGUAGGCGGCCACCGCAAGUCGACUGUGAAAUCUCCGGGCUUAACUCGGAAAGGUCAGCCGAUACUGCGGGGCUAGAGUGCAGAAGGGGCAACUGGAAUUCUCGGUGUAGCGGUGAAAUGCGUAGAUAUCGAGAGGAACACCUGCGGCGAAAGCGGGUUGCUGGGCUGACACUGACGCUGAGGCGCGAAAGCUAGGGGAGCGAACGGGAUUAGAUACCCCGGUAGUCCUAGCCUUAAACGAUGAAUGCUUGGUGUCUGGGGUUUUAUAGUCCCCGGGUGCCGUCGCUAACGCUUUAAGCAUUCCGCCUGGGGAGUACGGUCGCAGACUGAAACUCAAAGGAUUGACGGGGACCCGCACAAGCGGUGGAGCAUGGUGGUUUAAUUCGACG
rnacentral:rRNA from 1 species